rnacentral:rRNA from 1 species
GAUGAACGCUGGCUACAGGCUUAACACAUGCAAGUCGAGGGGAAACGACGGGGAAGCUUGCUUCCCCGGGCGUCGACCGGCGCACGGGUGAGUAACGCGUAUCCAACCUGCCUCUGACUGAGGGAUAACCCGUCGAAAGUCGGCCUAAUACCUCAUGGUAUCGUCUGCGGGCAUCCAACGACGAUUAAAGAUUUCAUCGGUCAGGGAUGGGGAUGCGUCUGAUUAGCUUGUUGGCGGGGUAACGGCCCACCAAGGCUACGAUCAGUAGGGGUUCUGAGAGGAAGGUCCCCCACAUUGGAACUGAGACACGGUCCAAACUCCUACGGGAGGCAGCAGUGAGGAAUAUUGAUCAAUGGGCGAGAGCCUGAACCAGCCAAGUAGCGUGCAGGAAGACGGCCCUAUGGGUUGUAAACUGCUUUUAUGCGGGGAUAAAGUGAGGGACGUGUCCCCCAUUGCAGGUACCGCAUGAAUAAGGACCGGCUAAUUCCGUG